rnacentral:rRNA from 1 species
CUAGCAUAUCAAUAAGCGGAGGAAAAGAAACCAACAGGGAUUGCCCUAGUAACGGCGAGUGAAGCGGCAACAGCUCAAAUUUGAAAUCUGGCGCAAGCCCGAGUUGUAAUUUGUAGAGGAUGUUUCUGGCGACGUGCCUUCCGAGUUCCCUGGAACGGGACGCCAUAGAGGGUGAGAGCCCCGUACGGUUGGAUGCCUAGCCUCUGUGAAACUCCUUCGACGAGUCGAGUAGUUUGGGAAUGCUGCUCUAAAUGGGAGGUAUACGUCUUCUAAAGCUAAAUACCGGCCAGAGACCGAUAGCGCACAAGUAGAGUGAUCGAAAGAUGAAAAGCACUUUGAAAAGAGGGUUAAAAAGUACGUGAAAUUGUUGAAAGGGAAGCGUUCAUGACCAGACUUGGGCAGGUUGAUCAUCCGUGGUUCUCCGCGGUGCACUCUGCCUGCCCAGGCCAGCAUCAGUUCGCCCCGGGGGAUAAAGACUUUGGGAAUGUGGCUCCCUCGGGAGUGUUAUAGCCCACUGUGUAAUACCCUGGGGUGGACUGAGGUUCGCGCUCUGCAAGGAUGCUGGCGUAAUGGUCAUCAACGACCCGUCUUGAAACACGGACCAAGGAGUCGUCUUCGUAUGCGAGUGUUCGGGUGUCAAACCCCUACGCGUAAUGAAAGUGAACGUAGGAGAGAGCUUCGGCGCAUCUCCGACCGAUCCUGAUGUUCUCGGAUGGAUUUGAGUAAGAGCAUACGGGGCCGGACCCGAAAGAAGGUGAACUAUGCCUGUAUAGGGUGAAGCCAGAGGAAACUCUGGUGGAGGCUCGCAGCGGUUCUGACGUGCAAAUCGAUCGUCAAAUAUGGGCAUGGGGGCG